ensembl:lncRNA
CGCCCCUGGCCCGACCAAUGACCUCAGGACAGGCGCAGCGCUCCCCCGCAGAUCGCCCAUUGGCCGAGCCACCCGCUUGUAACAGCGGCGGUACCGCCCCUCGAGCAGAGGGAGAGCCCCCCGGGGAUUCACUGAGCACAAGAUGGCGGUGCUGGCCGUCCGCCAGAGCCCAGGCGGGGCUGCUGCCGCCGCCAUUAGGCCCCUUCCCUUCCCCUCCGGUACAGCUUUGUAUCCGCCUAGAGGAGACCCAGGCAUGGCAGUGUGGAAGCGGCCGACUCCAUCUUCUGCCUCUGUGUGUCCCGCGCUCGUCAUCACCGCGACCAUCGCCCUACACCCCUUGGACAGCAGACUUUGCUCACCGCGACCGGACCAGCCCCGACCUCAGCCGGCCCACGCUGCAAACAGCGGCUCCGGCACCAGACUGCCUCGCCGAUCGACCCAGCACGCCACAGUGGUCGUUUCCUCUUUCCAGGAGCUGUAGACCAGGCCAGACCACGGCUGGUGCUCGCUUACCAGACAAAUACCGGAGCCGUGCAAUCCCCCUCCCCUAAACCCACCGUCACCCCACCCCUCCCCUCGCGGGGGUGUCCAGAGUAGGGCCCGCUGCCGCCUCCCCGCGCCCCCUCCCUCGUCCUGGCCCCCACGAAACAAACCCACCAGGCCGCUUCAAUUUUAAAAAAUGUUUUUUACCUCAGGAAUGGGCGCCAAAGGUGCAGUGGCGGUGACCCGACCGGGCCCGGGCAGGCCGGUGCCCAGCAGCGGCCCUCCCUCCCCCCGCGGGGGCUGCAAGGGGCUGUGGGGCCCGCGGAGGGGAGGGGGCCGGGGCUGUGUUGGGGUCGGGGGUGUUUUGUUAUGUGUGCCGUGCCCUGUGACAGGUCAGAGUUCGUGACCCCACCGCCGCCGCCCGGUAGCGCGGUCCCGCUUCCUCUUCCAGCGCCAGCCCGGCCGCGGCCCCUCCAUCCCCCGCGGGGCGGGGCCGGCGACGGGGAGGGGCUACCGGGCUACCUGGGCCUUCCGAGCCCUGCACCGCUCCGGCCGUGCCGGGGACGUGCCGGGAGGACCCUGGCCUCCGGCGCAGCGAGGGGAAGGUACGUUCACCGCCUUUGUUCCUCUCGCUCGGGAGGCUCCUCAGGAGCUGGCAGCCCGAGGUAGCGGGUUGGCGGUGGCUGUCCAGUGCGCUGAUGGUAUUGAUGUUACAGGUGUACCUUGGUUCUCGCUGACGAUACAAUCAAAGGUGGGCUCACAGUAGAGCAAGCUCUCACAAACGCCACCGCCAGACUGUCGAGUUUUUAUUUAAUUUUGUAAAUUCAAUGUCAUUGAUUAGGGCUCUUACGGCAAAGCUUGCUGUGAGGUAUGUUGUGCCUUCAAAUACACAAUGAUAGGCACGAAACAGGUUCGGGUGUAGCUGAGGUGGUGUAGGAAUUUACCACGUUUCAGUGCUUGUCUUCUCACAGGCUAACAGAUGUUCACCCCUUGUCAUAACUAGCUACUUCUUAACCUACUCUCAUCAAAAUGUUUUUAAUGCUUCUAGUAGGUUUCCCUUGAGUCUUACAAUUUUUACAGAAGCUAAUUUAAGAAGCAGUUCGAUUAAUAAGAUAACGCCUGAAACAAAACGGAAGACCUACCAGUUGAAUGCAACAAUCACAGAAACGAGGUGUUGUUGACUUAAUAGUUACAAAGUCAAUAUAAUGAUUUUUUUUUUUUUGGAAGAUUGUAGUUUUUUCUUAGAAAUGGCUCUUUGAGGUAAGGGUAUGAUUAAUGUACUAGACCUAUGAAUUACAGUCUUACUUUCACAGAACAAGAAUUAUUAAAGCAUGUGAUGUGCAGAUGUGUUUGCAAUACACAAAUAAAGGAAAAUGCUUCAAAAAUGUCU